CAGGUUUAUACCACAAAUGUCAAAAGUCUUGAUGUCCUAUUUUGAAAGAGAAGUUAUUUAAGAAUAACCAUGUUUGAAACCUGGAAAUGGUUUGGGAUUAAGGUCUUUCAACAGAAGAUUCCUAUGAAGUUUAUGGGGAAACUAAUGCCUAGAAAGUUACUGAGAGAUGACUGUUGCAGUUUCCAAUUUAACUGGUAGGAAGCAAUUUACCUCCGACACUAGCUGACUUAAAUGGACAGGAUAUGUCACGUUCCCCAGCAAAUACCUGUUACCUGCAGGAGAAAUGCAGCCUUCAAAGAAUUCCCAUGAAAGGAACACAAGUACCCUGAAGGAGAGAAUUUUGUGACCCUCUCACAGACUAGAUCCUGAAACUUAGGGAAAUAAAGGUAAUUAUCCCUAAACAUGAUGUGUGUAAAAACAAAUUCCCCAAUUAGAACUCAUCAGUAUGAGCCAGAAUGACCUAGAGUUGUCAUGCACAGUGGGGACUUGAAUGAAAGUCUGCUAUCAUCUGCCGUCAUCAAAAGUCAAGAAGUGGACCUGUGUGGACUCUCUGGAAACUUCCCUGGGAUUCCCAAUUAAACUGGAGGGCAGGAGAGACAUGGUGUCCCUUUUCUGUCUGAGAAUAUCUACUCUCUCCUUUAAGAAUGUCCCCUUUCCCCCUUUCCCAUCCCUUCUAAUAAAUUUAUGAUGGUUCCUCUGA